rnacentral:lncRNA from 1 species
ACGGCUCUUUUCUGCCCGGGCCAUGGGAGAAGAUAAUAUUCCUUUUAGAGCCUGUAGGGAAGCUGCAACUGUCGAAGAUAACUGGCCCCCAGGUCAAGUCAAGCAAUCACAUACCACAGCAUACCUUCAGGAGAGCACACUGCAGGAAGUUCGGAAAGGAUAACCAAUGCAGCUGAAACCAAUCUACUUCCAUCUUCUAAUAGUAUCUGUGGCUUCGUAGCUUUUACUCCUGGGCUACCUGUCAAUUUAGGGUUUAAUUCUGGGAGCUGUCUAACUAGAAUGCAUACACACAAUUCCAGUGUUGCAAAGACCAAAGACUUUCCAGGCACAAGUCCUCCGGUGUCCUUUCCCUCUCCAAACUCUGGCAGAGUUUCCUUUUCAGCAGCC